rnacentral:lncRNA from 1 species
GAGCGCUUAGGUCGUUUCAUUUCCCCUCGUGAUUUGAACGACUCGCCUUUUUUUCCUGCGAACAUUAUGGAAUGCCGAGUGGCUGUGCAGCUGAUUGAUGAACAAGACUCCCAAAACGCGGAUGUGCAGCUGAUUGAACAAGUCUCCCAAAACGAUCUGCUCCAGUUAAUAACCCAGCCAAAUUUUAUAGACCUCGCACAGGAAUGCGAUGACCAAGCAGGUCCGAGCAGCUCUAACAAUACACGAAAUCCGGCACGCAGCCCCUUGAGAAAGAAAAGAGCGAUCGGACUCCGGCACCAAGAGAAGAAGAAGAAUCACACAACAGUAAGUGUGUUUUUUUCUUUCUA